rnacentral:rRNA from 1 species
AUUGAACGCUGGCGGCAGGCCUAACACAUGCAAGUCGAACGGUAACAGGAAGAAGCUUGCUUCCUUGCUGACGAGUGGCGGACGGGUGAGUAAUGUCUGGGAAACUGCCUGAUGGAGGGGGAUAACUACUGGAAACGGUAGCUAAUACCGCAUAACGUCGCAAGACCAAAAAGGGGGACCUUCGGGCCUCUUGCCAUCGGAUGUGCCCAGAUGGGAUUAGCUAGUAGGUGGGGUAACGGCUCACCUAGGCGACGAUCCCUAGCUGGUCUGAGAGGAUGACCAGCCACACUGGAACUGAGACACGGUCCAGACUCCUACGGGAGGCAGCAGUGGGGAAUAUUGCACAAUGGGCGCAAGCCUGAUGCAGCCAUGCCGCGUGUAUGAAGAAGGCCUUCGGGUUGUAAAGUACUUUCAGCGGGGAGGAAGGGAGUAAAGUUAAUACCUUUGCUCAUUGACGUUACCCGCAGAAGAAGCACCGGCUAACUCCGUG